rnacentral:rRNA from 1 species
AGAGUUUGAUCAUGGCUCAGGAUGAACGCUAGCGGCAGGCUUAAUACAUGCAAGUCGUGGGGCAGCAGGGGUAGCAAUACUCGCUGGCGACCGGCAAACGGGUGCGGAACACGUACACAACCUUCCUUAAAGUGGGGAAUAGCCCAGGGAAACUUGGAUUAAUACCCCGUAAUAUUAUUAGAUGGCAUCAUUUGAUAAUUAUAGCUCCGGCGCUUAAAGAUGGGUGUGCGGCUGAUUAGGUAGUUGGCGGGGUAACGGCCCACCAAGCCUGCGAUCAGUAACUGGUGUGAGAGCACGACCAGUCACACGGGCACUGAGACACGGGCCCGACUCCUACGGGAGGCAGCAGUAAGGAAUAUUGGUCAAUGGACGCAAGUCUGAACCAGCCAUGCCGCGUGGAGGAUGAAGGUCCUCUGGAUUGUAAACUUCUUUUAUCUGGGAAGAAACCCAAGGUUUCUACUUUGGUUGACGGUACCAGAUGAAUAAGCACCGGCUAACUCCGUGCCAGCAGCCGCGGUAAUACGGAGGGUGCAAGCGUUAUCCGGAUUCACUGGGUUUAAAGGGUGCGUAGGUGGGCUAGUAAGUCAGUGGUGAAAUCUCCGGGCUUAACCCGGAAACUGCCAUUGAUACUAUUAGUCUUGAAUGUUGUGGAGGUAAGCAGAAUAUGUCAUGUAGCGGUGAAAUGCUUAGAUAUGACAUAGAACACCGAUAGCGUAGGCAGCUUACUACACAAAUAUUGACACUGAGGCACGAAAGCGUGGGGAUCAAACAGGAUUAGAUACCCUAGUAGUCC